rnacentral:lncRNA from 1 species
AGGACUAUCGGGCAGACUCAGGAAGCAGCACAUGGGGAACAUUCUCAGACUUGGCCCUGGUGGUAGUAUCCGUCUGCCAGAGACCAGAGAGAAAAGUCAGAGGUUUCAGCUGCAAAGACCAACUCUCUCAACAAACAUUAAUUCAGUGUGUGUUCCCUGAGCACCCACUCUGGCUGGGCACUGGACGUAGAAGAGUGAGCAGACAGAUGUGGUUGCUGCUCUCCGGGAACUUUAAUACCUGGGAUGAUAGCAACUGACUGUGUGUUUUGAUGGGGGUGAGUUGACCUGGAGUUGGGGGUGGCUGUGGGAACUGAUUGAAAUGACCAGUGAAGCCAU